rnacentral:rRNA from 1 species
AGUGAACGCUGGCGGUAGGCCUAACACAUGCAAGUCGAACGGCAGCACAGUAAGAGCUUGCUCUUACGGGUGGCGAGUGGCGGACGGGUGAGGAAUACAUCGGAAUCUACUUUUUCGUGGGGGAUAACGUAGGGAAAUUUACGCUAAUACCGCAUACGACCUACGGGUGAAAGCAGGGGAUCUUCGGACCUUGCGCGAUUGAAUGAGCCGAUGUCGGAUUAGCUAGUUGGCGGGGUAAAGGCCCACCAAGGCGACGAUCCGUAGCUGGUCUGAGAGGAUGAUCAGCCACACUGUAACUGAGACACGGUCCAGACUCCUACGGGAGGCAGCAGUGGGGAAUAUUGGACAAUGGGCGCAAGCCUGAUCCAGCCAUACCGCGUGGGUGAAGAAGGCCUUCGGGUUGUAAAGCCCUUUUGUUGGGAAAGAAAAGCAGCAGGUUAAUACCCCGCUGUUCUGACGGUACCCAAAGAAUAAGCACCGGCUAACUUCGUG